rnacentral:rRNA from 1 species
UACAGAGGUGGCAAGCGUUGUUCGGAAUUACUGGGCGUAAAGGGCGCGUAGGCGGCCUUCUAAGUCAGACGUGAAAUCCCCCGGCUUAACCUGGGAACUGCGUCUGAUACUGGAAGGCUUGAGUGCGGGAGAGGGAUGUGGAAUUCCAGGUGUAGCGGUGAAAUGCGUAGAUAUCAUGAGGAAUACCAGAGGCGAAGGCGGCUACCUGGACAAUUGCUGACGCUCAGGCACGAAAGCGUGGGGAGCGAACGGG